CCUGGAGGACUAGUGGUUAGGGCACGAUGCUCCCACCGCCGCGGCCCGGGUUCGAUUCCUGUUGUACAAGA